CGUCUAAAGAGGAGCCUGCGGCGGAUUAGCUAGUUGGUAAGGUAAUGGCUUACCAAGGCGAUGAUCCGUAACCGGCCUGAGAGGGCGGUCGGUCACACUGACACUGAUAUACGGGUCAGACUCCUACGGGAGGCAGCAGUCGGGAAUUUUGGGCAAUGGGCGAAAGCCUGACCCA
rnacentral:rRNA from 1 species